UGCAGAUUAAAAAAAAAUGCUAGUCCUUGUGA
rnacentral:piRNA from 1 species